UCGCCGAAAGGCGAAUUAAUACCGCAUGUGAUUAGAGAGGACAUCCUUUCAAAAUUAAAGUCGGGGCAACCUGACGCUUCUUGUGGGGCCCGCGGCCUAUCAGCUAGUUGGUGAGGUAACGGCUCACCAAGGCUUUGACGGGUAGCUGGUCUGAGAGGACGACCAGCCACACUGGGACUGAGACACGGCCCAGACACCUACGGGUGGCAGCAGUCGAGAAUUUUUGACAAUGGGGGAAACCCUGAUCGAGCGACGCCGCGUGGAGGAUGAAGGUCUUCGGAUUGUAAACUCCUGUCAUUGGGGAACAAUGCACAGAUAUUAACUGUAUUUGUGUUGAUAGUACCCGAAGAGGAAGAGACGGCAAACUCUGUGCCAGCAGCCGCGGUAAUACAGAGGUCUCAAGCGUUGUUCGGAUUUAUUGGGCGUAAAGGGUGCGUAGGUGGUACCGAAAGUUAGGUGUGAAAGUUCGAGGCUUAACCUCGAAAUUGCACCUAAUACUCCGGUGCUUGAGUCUCAUAGAGGAAUCUGGAAUUCUCGGUGUAGCA
rnacentral:rRNA from 1 species